rfam:Gluconobacter oxydans H24 plasmid, complete sequence.
UGCGUAUUUUGCCCAGGCGGAACUCGACCGCCGGUUCGGGCCAUGACGCGCUUCAUUGAGGAGCAUCGGCAGACAUAUGGUGUCGGGUCAAUCUGCAAGAUCCUGCCGAUUGCGCCA